rnacentral:rRNA from 1 species
AUUGAACGCUGGCGGCAGGCCUAACACAUGCAAGUCGAACGAGUGGCGGACGGGUGAGUAAUGUCUGGGAAACUGCCCGAUGGAGGGGGUUAACUACUGGAAACGGUAGCUAAUACCGCAUACCAUCGGAUGUGCCCAGAUGGGAUUAGCUAGUAGGUGGGGUAACGGCUCACCUAGGCGACGAGCCCUAGCUGGUCUGAGAGGAUGACCGGCCACAUGGGAACUGAGACAGGGUCCAGACCCCUACGGGGGGAGGCGGUGGGAAAUAUUGCACAUGGGGCGCAGGCCGAAGGCACCACGGCGGGGUGUAUGAAGAAGGCCUUCGGGUUGAAAAGUACUUUCAGCGAGGAGACGUUACUCGCAGAAGAAGCACCGGCUAACUCCGUGCCAGCAGCCGCGUAAUUC